GGGCUUCCUCCCAGCUGUAAAUUGGCUUAUACGCCAGAUCUCGCUGAGCCUUCUUGUAAGAGAAGGUGAACACACUAUUUGAUAAUGUGACUGUGUGGCGGUUGAAGGGGGGUUGAUAGGAGUAAAUUGGGCUGAGUAGGAAGCUCACUACUUCCAGCAGGAAGCCAAUCCAGUACAUCAGGGUUAAAGGAAGGCUCCAUCUGGAAUCAAGGUUAUCAUAGCUUUGGUGAGGCGUGUCAUCUGAGAUGUAAUAGAAUUGACCUCGGACACUUGGGGCCUUCUUGGG
rnacentral:lncRNA from 1 species